CACGACCACCGGAAGAUACUCAGGGAGAAGGAGAAUAAGUGGAAGACGCUAACUGUUAGCUCAUCAGAUGAUGGUUGCUAAUUGUCAUUUUUCUUGUGGUCGGUAUUAAUCGGCGCUAAUAACGCAACAAGCGAGCGAGUUUGCCUUCUACACGUCCCCCAAGUUUAAAAGGAAGAAGAUGAAACGUUGCGGGAAAAUUCAAGGAGGGGAAACAUUUGUGCGUUUCUUGGCAGCUUUUGGAAGUGACGAAACAUCUCGCCCCCGUCGGCUGCACCCCACCUUGGUCCCGUCGUAGCUUUCAUCUGUUACUAAUACGGCGGGCGGCCUUCCAUCAGACGUCCCGACGUGUCCCGGCACAACACAAAGGGCAGGCAAGGCCGGGAUCGAACCCAGAACCUCAGAACUGUUGAGUCCAACGCUUUACCAGCUGCCCCACCGUGCCGAGAAUGAAUAUAUCGCAAGAAAAUGACACGCACGCACACUUCAGCUCGGUUUCCUGCUCCGGUGUCUUUGUCGUAUCCUUCAGUGGCACAUGUAAGAAUGCGAGUGAUCUCUGCGGCAUAUCUGGAAGUGAUUGAAACAAGAUGGAGGGGGAAGCGCUAGCUAGCUUGGAAGCUAAUUGGAUUGGUGGAGGCUCGGCGCGGUAAUGCGCCGCAGCCGUCGCGGGGGAUGGCCGCGAGAAAAAAAAAAAAAAAAACAACACCAAGUGUGUGACACAUGCGUGCAAAAUCUUCACAUCACGAAUAAUGUGUGUGUGUGUGUGUGUGUGUUUUGCUGGGCAGGAAAUGAAAUAUAUCAAAGCAGGAAGAUGGAAAAACACAACAUUUCAAAAUAGCGUCUUAAAUAAAGCUAGCGGAUUUCCCCAAAUAGUAGUCCCUCCCUCAAAUGUAACAUACUGUAUUACUCCCUUAGUGUAUCCAGAGUUAGGCAAUAUGUGGUCUGGGAUCAUAAUUUUGGUCAAACAAUAUUGAUUACCGAUGUACCAUGAUACUUUCUGUAAUGCUGAAAAAUGUCACAAGAGUAUUGAAUAUCAUUUAUCACUAUCACAAAACUGUUGAUAUUGUUGAAACAGCUAUAAGCAUCAUCAGCAUAUUUUCACAAUAUGGUAUUUUUUUUUUCUCGAUAUUGAAACUUUUUCUUUCAAUAUAUCAAUUGUCACGAUACUAUCAGUAUCAGAAAAACAUUAAAAAUUGCAGUAAUAUGGUAAGUUUUUCCUCUGGUUUCUUGAUUGAUGCGUGAUCGCUGUUCCAUGAUACUGUUGAUAUUAUCGGAAAAGCUGUAUCACGAUACUGUCGACAUUAUUGAAACAGAUAUUAUAUUAUCAUCAUAUUUUCACAGUGAUGUGUUUUUUUCUGAUAUUGAAACUUUUUCUUUCAAUAUAUCAAUUAUCACUGUAUGACAAUGCUAACAGUGUUGGAAAACCAUUAGAAAUUGCAAUGAUAUGGUAGCAAGUUUUUCCUCUAACCUGUUGAUUGAUGCGCGAUUGCUGUAUGGUGAUAAUGUCGAUAUUAUCAGGAAAAACUGUAUCACGAUACUGUCUAUUGAUGAAACAAUUACACUCACCUUAACACUGCCAGCAUAUUUUCACUAAGUGAUAUUGUGUUGUUUUUCCAAUAUUGAAACUUUUUCUUUCAAUGUAUCAAUUAUCACUAUCACGAUACUAUCAGUGUUGGAAAACCAUUACAAAUUGCAAUGAUACGGUAGCAAGUUUUUCCUCUAAUCUCUCGAUUGCUGUGUCGUGAUACUGUUGAUGUCAAAAAUGCUGUAUCAUGAUACUGUUGAUAUCGUAAAAUUGUUGCUCCAAUAUUGUAUUACAGUUUUCCAAAAUAUCAACAAUUGCACAACGGCUGCAUUUAGACAGUUUUGGUAUCAGAGGGGGAAAUUUUUUUUCACGUUGUAUCAUCUUUUUCUUCCGAUAUAGUGAUUAUCGCUAUUGCAAUAUGCUAGUGCUAUAUCGCGAUACGAUCUGUAUCAUAGGGGGGGGGGGGGGGCACUUCACUGUAUUAUUUAUUACUAUUGAAGCAUUUUCACAAGGGUUGAAAAUGUUCCAGCCGGCCCAAAUCCGACACGGUAAUGUUUAAAUUUGCCAGCAGAAGGUCCGUUGAUGGUGUUUUAAUUGGGGCCGUGGAAGAAAAGGUUAGUCCGAGGUCAAACGUGACAGCGGCCCCCCCGAAGCCCGACACUUCACAGGCUUUCCAAACAAGUCGGCGAGUGCGGGAAGCGCCUGUCGGAGCCGUCGCCCGACACUCGCCUCACGCUCUCGGAGCGGCCAUUUGCGAGGACGCCCACGAACCGCGCGACCUCACCCGCCGUCUUUCGGGUGUCGCGUAAAAGCGGCUUUUUCUCCUCUCAUUUUGUCAUCCUUUGGCACAUUCCAACGAUCCGCGACGGGAUUCUGCGAGGCACAUGAAGCAAAGUUUCAACCCUCCGUGCGUUCGUGUUGGUGUGCGCGUGUACUUCCAAGCUUCUAAUCGGAGCCGCAAACACGUACAUACGAAACACAUUAAUUUGUGGCAGGGAAUGACGACAAGAUACAAAACUUUCCCAUCGGAAAAAAAAAAUGGAAAGGCAGUCCAUCUGUUUCUGUUUGAAAGGCUCACACGCAAGUGUAAAAAGAAGUUCACCGCCACACAUUUCCAAAAGAUGCGCAUUGGCUUCAUUGAAGACUCAAGUCUAAAUCUUCCAUCGUUGUGAAGAUCAAUGGUUUUGAUUUGUUUUUAUUUUUGUCAUGUAUUUUUUCUCUUUUGUUCUUUUUGUAUUUAGCCUUGUUUUAGAACUUUUUAAGAUGUGUAAUAUUUUAGUAUUUGGCAGAUAGUGUGUUGCAGUAUUUAUUUAUUUUCUUUAUUUUUGAAAUAUUUUUUUAUUUUUUGUUGUGCUGUACUUUUCCAGUUUUCAAUUAGAUUUUGUAUAUUUUAAAAUAUAUUUGUAGACUUUUUUAAUUUUAGAAUAUCUUUGUCUUUUUAGUGUAUUUUCGUUAAAUGUUUAUAUUUUUUCUUGUUUUAUUUUGCACGUCUUUAUAAUAUUUUCUAAUAUUAUUGUUUUUUAAGGAAUCUAAUAUAUUAUUUUCUGAUAUUGUUGCAUUUUUAGUCAUAUUUUGUAACUUUCAAAUAUUUUUUCUUUUUUUUUAACUUAUGGGGUGUUUUUCUCAAAAUAUUUUUACACUGUAUUACAAUAUUUUUUAUUUUUUCCAAUUUUUAAUUAGAUUUUUUAUUUUGUGGUAUCUUAAAUAUUUUUGUAGAAUGUUUUUCAAUUUUAGAAUAUCUUUGUCUUGUUUGCAUAUUUUUGAUAUUUCUGCAUUUUUCUCCAAAAUUUGUUUUAUGCAAAAAAGUGUGUAAUUUUGCAGUUCAUUUUCAAGGAAUCUAAUAUUUUCCAUUAUUUUCUGAUAUUGUUGCAUUUUUUUAACUUUCAAAUGUUUUUUUUUUAAUUUUUAUUUUUUUACUUUUUGGGUGUUUUUCCCAUUUUUGGAUUGUAUUCCAACAGCUCCAUUUUAUAUUAUUGACAGGUAUUGUUCUUUUUAAAAAUAUUUUGUUUAUAUAUUUUUUUCAAUUUAGAGCUUUUUCAAUAUUGUGUAUUUU